rnacentral:pre_miRNA from 1 species
UAUAAGGGAUUUUGAGUUUUUUUCUUGCAACAUUUGACCACUCGUCUUAUUCAAAAAAUUUUAAAAUUAUUAUUUAUUUUAUUUGUGACUUACUUUAUUAUCUACAAUACUUUAAGCAUAACUUUUCAUUUUUUAUAUUUAUAAAAAUAAUUUAAAUAAAACGAGCGGUCAAACGUUGCAAGCCAAAUCUCAACGAAGGGAGUAGA